rnacentral:lncRNA from 1 species
UUAUAAUCAACUUUAUCAGUCAGGAUCUUUGGUGUUCGUUCAUUUGAGCCUUCAAGGUUCAGGAUAUUCUGUAUUUCUGCCAAACCUGCUUUCUAAUCUUGAUAAAAAUACUACAUGAUUAGUGAUUACUAGUAUGUAUAGUAUUGGAAUAUAGUGAUUUUUUGGAUUUACAUCAUAAAUUUUUCAUCUCUAUUCUCUACCAUUGUUAAUGAUUUUUUUGAUUUACAUCAUGUAUCCAUCAUAAUAUGUUUUUCAAAUUGUUUAUGAUUGUAAGCUAGACAAAUUUAAUUCUCUAUCCAAUUACGGUCUCUACUUUCUUGGAGUUGCACCAAAUUAUACCUCUUCAAAGACAAGUUCUCUACUAAUUAAUUAAACAUCUGCUUGUAUUUUCUUAGGAUACUCUCUUUUAUAGAAAGGUUUGACAUCCUAGGUGGUGAGAGAGGAUCUCGCAUCCUGAGACAUUACCAAAAACCCACACCCUAGCACGCAAAGAGGGGGGGAAUACUGAUAGUACAAGGUCCAACACACAGACCAUAGUACUAAAAGACGUAUCCCAAGAUAUCUAAUACGCAGAGGAGGGGGGAGUACUGGUGAUACAGUAUCCCGAACUCGGUCACAACUUACCAGCAACUAGAAGUCCGGAUAGCCUAAGAUGAAUUGAGUUACCUAUUCUAGGGUUGGGGAGGUCCCAAGUCGAAUCUUAGGAAGAUCGACUUUCCUGAGGUCAGAAGUCGAUCCCCAGAAAGUCGAUCUCUGGAAAGUCGAUCUUGGGCCCCGAUCUGAUCAGUUAGGCAGUUAGGCGGUUACUGUCCUAAUGACCAGAUUACCCCCAUAAGAAUUCCUAUAAAUAGGAGGCAUCCCCCAUUCAUUAGAGGCGCGCAGGUCAUUUGGAGCGAAAGGAAUCCUAGCGAAGCAGAGCUCUGCGCACUUGAGUCCCGGUCCGAUUUCCCGCGGAGUUCCCUGCUUGGCGCUUGUUUGCGCGUCUUGGAGUACUGGUCGGGUUUCACCCCCAUCACUAGGGUUUGGGUUAGCAAUAACUAAAUCUAACCUAAUCACCCAUACUCAUCAUCCAGACAAAUCAAACGAUUGAUACCUUUUUGAUGAUACCCUCGUCCACUGGAUCGAGUGGCUCAACAAAAACAUCAACGGACCAGAUAUAUCCAAUCUUGGUUCGUCGACGGUCUUAGGAGUAGCAGAAGGUCCAUAAAUAUUGGUCUCUUAAGUGGAUAAAUGGAACGAAGGCAUAGUUUAAGUGGAUAAAUAUUUAUGGACUUUCUUCACUCAUCGCUUAUUGAAGAUCGGAACAUCAUUCGUAAUGGAAGACGAGAACAUGGAAGAUAGAGAUUGGCUAGUUCCGACCAUGAUGAAAGAUGUGAGAAAGAUCAACAAUAGUGAUUUCGGCAAAUAACGGUGUGUU